AACGCAUAUUGCGCCCUCUGGUAUUCCGGGGGGCACACCUGUCCGAGCGCCAUUUUGACCCUCAAGCAUUGCUUGGUGUUGGGCCAGGUCCUAGGGGACCUGCCCGUAACUUGUAGGCGGUCAUCGCCCGCGCCCCCAGCGUAGCAAGCUAACGCACUCGCUUGGGGACGGCGUGUGGCUCGCCCGGCAAAAACCAAACCCUAAAGGUUUGGCCUCGGAUCAGGUGGGGAUACCCGCUGAACUUAA
rnacentral:misc_RNA from 1 species